rnacentral:rRNA from 1 species
UCGGGGGGCCCCGCAGGGGGGAAUAUUGCACAAUGGGCGGAAGCCUGAUGCAGCGACGCCGCGUGAGGGAUGACGGCCUUCGGGUUGUAAACCUCUUUCAGUAGGGAAGAAGCGAGAGUGACGGUACCUGCAGAAGAAGCGCCGGCUAACUACGUGCCAGCAGCCGCGGUAAUACGUAGGGCGCAAGCGUUGUCCGGAAUUAUUGGGCGUAAAGAGCUCGUAGGCGGUUUGUCGCGUCUGCUGUGAAAGCCCGGGGCUCAACCCCGGGUCUGCAGUGGGUACGGGCAGACUAGAGUGCAGUAGGGGAGACCGGAAUUCCUGGUGUAGCGGUGAAAUGCGCAGAUAUCAGGAGGAACACCGAUGGCGAAGGCAGUCUCUGUGCCUGACCUGACGCCUUGAUUCCAAUCCCUUC